rnacentral:rRNA from 1 species
AGGGAAUAUUGCACAAUGGAGGAAACUCUGAUGCAGCGACGCCGCGUGAGUGACGAAGGCCUUCGGGUUGUAAAGCUCUGUUCUCAGGGAAAAAGAAAGUGAUUGUACCUGAGGAGAAAGGACCGGCUAACUUCGUGCCAGCAGCCGCGGUAAGACGAGGGGUCCAAGCGUUGUUCGGAAUUAUUGGGCGUAAAGCGGGUGUAGGUGGCUCUGUAAGUCAGGAGUGAAAGCCCCGAGCUUAACUUGGGAAGUGCUUUUGAUACUGCAGAGCUUGAGUGUGGGAGAGGAUCGUGGAAUUCCAGGUGUAGUGGUGAAAUACGUAGAUAUCUGGAGGAACACCGGUGGCGAAGGCGGCGGUCUGGCCCAACACUGACACUGAGACCCGAAAGCGUGGGGAUCAAACAGGA